rnacentral:rRNA from 1 species
AGAGUUUGAUCCUGGCUCAGAGCGAACGCUGGCGGCAGGCCUAACACAUGCAAGUCGAACGAACUCUUCGGAGUUAGUGGCGGACGGGUGAGUAACACGUGGGAACGUGCCUUUAGGUUCGGAAUAACUCAGGGAAACUUGUGCUAAUACCGAAUGUGCCCUUCGGGGGAAAGAUUUAUCGCCUUUAGAGCGGCCCGCGUCUGAUUAGCUAGUUGGUGAGGUAAAGGCUCACCAAGGCGACGAUCAGUAGCUGGUCUGAGAGGAUGAUCAGCCACAUUGGGACUGAGACACGGCCCAAACUCCUACGGGAGGCAGCAGUGGGGAAUCUUGCGCAAUGGGCGAAAGCCUGACGCAGCCAUGCCGCGUGAAUGAUGAAGGUCUUAGGAUUGUAAAAUUCUUUCACCGGGGACGAUAAUGACGGUACCCGGAGAAGAAGCCCCGGCUAACUUCGUGCCAGCAGCCGCGGUAAUACGAAGGGGGCUAGCGUUGCUCGGAGUUACUGGGCGUAAAGGGAGCGUAGGCGGACAUUUAAGUCAGGGGUGAAAUCCCGGGGCUCAACCUCGGAAUUGCCUUUGAUACUGGGUGUCUUGAGUAUGAGAGAGGUGUGUGGAACUCCGAGUGUAGAGGUGAAAUUCGUAGAUAUUCGGAAGAACACCAGUGGCGAAGGCGACACACUGGCUCAUUACUGACGCUGAGGCUCGAAAGCGUGGGGAGCAAACAGGAUUAGAUACCCUGGUAGUCCACGCCGUAAACGAUGAUUGCUAGUUGUCGGGAUGCAUGCAUUUCGGUGACGCAGCUAACGCAUUAAGCAAUCCGCCUGGGGGAGUACGGUCGCAAGAUUAAAACUCAAAGGAAUUGACCGGGGGCCCGCACAAGCGGUGGAGCAUGUGGUUUAAUUCGAAGCAACGCGCAGAACCUUACCACCUUUUGACAUUGCCUGGACCGCCAGAGAGAUCCUGGCUUUCCCUUCGGGGUACUAGGACACAGGUGCUGCAUGGCUGUCGUCAGCUCGUGUCCGCGAGAAUGUUGGUUAAGUCCCCGCAACGAGCGCAACCCCCUCGCCCAUUUAGUUGGCCAUCAUUUAA